UACGUAGGGUGCAAGCGUUAAUCGGAAUUACUGGGCGUAAAGCGUGCGCAGGCGGUUUUGUAAGUCUGUCGUGAAAUCCCCGGGCUCAACCUGGGAAUUGCGAUGGAGACUGCAAGGCUAGAAUCUGGCAGAGGGGGGGUAGAAUUCCACGUGUAGCAGUGAAAUGCGUAGAGAUGUGGAGGAACACCGAUGGCGAAGGCAGCCCCCCUGGGUCAAGAUUGACGCUCAUGCACGAAAGCGUGGGGAGCAAACAGGAUUAGAAACCCGGG
rnacentral:rRNA from 1 species